rnacentral:lncRNA from 1 species
GGGCGGCGCAAAGGUAAGAGCGGCUUCCUCUUCUCCCCGGAGUCUCACGGGGCGCCGCGCCUGUCUUACUUCACUCGCGCUUUAUCGUUCCUGGUUGGCUGUGCGUGGCCACAGAGGCGCCGCUGUUGGAACGCGGGUCGGUCCUGUGUCCACACUGGUUGACGGCGGGUGUGGAGCCACUGUCGGGACGCGGGUCGGUGUGGCGCUGAUGUUGUGUUUGGGGGGAAUGGCCUUGGCUGAGGAGAUGUGGCCCAGGCGUCUGCGUGGUUCUCGGGGGGGUCCGCGGGCAGGAAGACGGUCCCCGCUGGUCAAGGCUCUCGCUGGGAGUGGCUCCGAGGGCAGGCAGCGUCACAGCCCACCCCAGCUUGAGAUAGGUCCCCUCCCGGCCUUGGCGCCCGGGGAGGUGAAUGGGCCUGUGGAGUCACAGGCUGCUGCCCAGAGCCAGAGGUCCCCACCUAUAGACGUGCUUCUGUUUCCUAAUCUUUUCCUUUUGCUGUUGUUCCUUGCGAAGUUCAGAGAGGCUAAUUUGUGCAAACCAGAUAACCGUGUGUUUCACAGAUCCCAGCAUCAGAAGGGGUGGUCGUUAUACACGCGGGACGGUCCAGAGGCUGGAGGGACAGACCUGGGCCAGAUCCCGGCCUCCUGCUGUGGAGGCCAAAGUCUCAGGCAGCUCAGCUUUGUGACAGGAAGCCCCUGAGGUGUCCUGGGCAGCAAAGGAGCUUGUCGGCCCACUCCCCGGCCCAGGUUCAGGGGCUGCUGGAUUCUGAAGACAAAUGAGGCCUUCCGAGUUUGGUUCUUCUCUCUCGCCUGCCCUUGGGAUUUGCUUGGGCCGCAUGUCCCAUGACCCCGGAGACAGUAGGAGGGCCCUGGCCCUGAGCCAACCCAGUGGGUGGGGGCCGCGUCCCCCCAGAGGGAAUGAGUGUCUGGUGGGGCGGCAGCCACAAGGAGGGCCGCGGCUGCCGGCGGCGGGGAGAGCCUCUUGACUGACAGACCCGGAGCUGCCUGCGCCCUCGCGGGAGGCCCUGUGCUCUGGCGUCACCCUCUGGGACACCUGUCUGGGACACAAGCGUUUCGUUCCUGAUUCUGACCGUCCACACUUGUUUGUGCCUGGUGGC